UAUGGUUGUGUGCCAGCCGCCGCGGUAAUACGUAGGGGGCAAGCGUUAUCCGGAUUUACUGGGUGUAAAGGGAGCGUAGACGGCUGUGCAAGUCUGAAGUGAAAGGCAUGGGCUCAACCUGUGGACUGCUUUGGAAACUGUGCAGCUAGAGUGUCGGAGAGGUAAGUGGAAUUCCUAGUGUAGCGGUGAAAUGCGUAGAUAUUAGGAGGAACACCAGUGGCGAAGGCGGCUUACUGGACGAUGACUGACGUUGAGGCUCGAAAGCGUGGGGAGCAAACAGG
rnacentral:rRNA from 1 species